AUUGAACGCUGGCGGCAGGCCUAACACAUGCAAGUCGCACGAGUGGCGGACGGGUGAGUAAUGUCUGGGAAACUGCCCGAUGGAGGGGGAUCACUACUGGAAACGGUAGCUAAUACCGCAUCCCAUCGGUUGUGCCCAGAUGGGAUUAGCUAGUAGGUGGGUUAACGGCUCACCUAGGCGAAGAUCCCUAGCUGGGCUGCGAGGAUGACCAGCCAAACUGGAACUGAGACACGGUCCAGAUUCCUACGGGGGGCAGAAGUGGGGAAGUUGGCACAAUGGGCGAAAGCCUGAGACAACCAUGCCGCGUAGAUGAAGAAGGCCUUCGGGUUGUAAGGUACUUUCAGCGAGGAGACGUUACUCGGAGAAGAAGCACCGGCUAACUCCGUGCCAGCAGCCGCGGUAAUUC
rnacentral:rRNA from 1 species